GUGGUUUACUCACUCGCCGACGAAUUCUCACAAGGCACCCAGACCUCCGCCCCCUGUAUUUCUGUCUUUUCUUCAAAGCAGGAUAUCCUUCUCGUCGGACUCAUUAAAGAAAAAAUCUUUGUCCAGUUUGAGGUGUUGGAGGAGUAUGGGGUUUUGGACAGUCCAGAGAUGGAGCUGAGCCCAGAGGACCCAUCUACAGGUGGUUCAUCGCCCCUUGAUUCAUCAUCUCCCUGGCCUGGUUCAUCACCUCUCCGGCCCCUCUCCCCAACGCCCAGGCCCUUCUUACCAACACCCAACCCACAAUCCAGGCGCACCCGUGCUCUCUGCCAUGCAACUCCAUCAACCUCCACCCCAUCUCCCCGAUCCAGCUCCAAUGCCCAGAAGAGGAAGACAGCUGAGGAUCCUUUGGACACUGACAUUAUGCAGCGGGUGCAUGACUUAAAAAAAACGGCAGCAGGAGUUACAGAAACAGCAGCAGUGUCCAGCAAAGGCCGUCUACGAUGUCAUGGUACCAUGGAUGAUGUCUAUUCCUGCUGAUCAACGUCUCCCGUUUGUCUCACCCCUAAACCUGUUGUGUGCUUUUUUUCUUAUUCAUACGUUAUGGUGGCGAGUAACUUACUUGGGGGGGUUGCAUGUUUUUUGUACUUAUUUCCUCAUUCAUAUGUUACUGGUUUUUACUUAGUUUUUUCUCUUAUUUUCGACUUUCAUCACACUUUUCACCUGUGUAUUGCAUUGUACUAUUUUCCUCUUGUGAUAGUAAAUAAAUAUCUAAAAGGAC
rnacentral:lncRNA from 1 species